rnacentral:rRNA from 1 species
GACGAACGCUGGCGGCGUGCCUAAUACAUGCAAGUAGGACGCAGUUGCGAACGGGUGAGUAACGCGUAGGUAACUACCUAUUAGAGGGGGAUAACUAUUGGAAACGAUAGCUAAUACCGCAUACUAGUAGAUGGACAUGUGUUGGAUUAGCUAGUAGGUAGGGUAAUGGCCUACCUAGGCAACGAUACAAAGCCGACCUGAGAGGGUGAUCGGCAACACGGGGACUGAGACACGGCCCAGUAUCCCACGGGAGGCAGCAGUAGGUAAUCUUCGGCAAUGGGGAGAACCCUUACCGAGCAACGCCGCGGGAGUGAAGAAGGUUUUCGGAUCGUAAAGUUCUGUUGUUAAGGAAGCGGUACUUAACCAGAAAGGGACGUCUAACUACGUGCCAGCAGCCGCGGUAAUUC